rnacentral:rRNA from 1 species
CCCUUAGACGUUCUGGGCCGCACGCGCGCUACACUGACCAGUGCAACAAGCAUCCGUCCUUGGCCGACAGGCCCGGGCAAUCUUUGAACGCUGGUCGUGAUGGGGAUAGACUUUUGCAAUUUUUGGUCUUCAACGAGGAAUUCCUAGUAAACGCAAGUCAUCAACUUGCAUUGAUUACGUCCCUGCCCUUUGUACACACCGCCCGUCGCACCUACCGAUUGAAUGGUCCGGUGAAGCUUCCGGAUUGGCGCGCACCUCGGUGCCGCCGAGAAGUUGGCUAAACCUUACCAUUUAGAGGAAGGUGAAGUCGUANCA